UACGAAGGGGGGCUAGCGUUGCUCGGAAUCACUGGGCGUAAAGGGUGCGUAGGCGGGUUCUUAAGUUAGAGGUGAAAGCCUGGAGCUCAACUCCAGAGCUGCCUUUAAUACUGGGAAUCUUGAGUUCGGAAGAGGUGAGUGGAACUGCGAGUGUAGAGGUGAAAUUCGUAGAUAUUCGGAAGAACACCAGUGGCGAAGGCGACUUACUGGACACAUAUUGACGCUGAGGUGCGAAAGCGUGGGGAGCAAACAGG
rnacentral:rRNA from 1 species